CAUACCAGGUGAAGACGGUCAUGUGACUUUAUUAGAACAGACAUACCAGGUGAAGACGGUCAUGUGACUUUAAUAGAACAGACAUACCAGGUGAAGACGGUCAUGUGACUUUAAUAGAACAGACAUACCAGGCGAAUAAGGACAGUCAUGUGACUUUAAUAGAACAGACAUACCAGGUGAAGACGGUCAUGUGACUUUAAUAGAACAGACAUACCAGGCGAAUAAGGACAGUCAUGUGACUUUAAUAGAACAGACAUACCAGGUGAAGAUGGUCAUGUGACUUUAAUAGAACAGUAAAUGUUGAAGGAAACUGGAAAUACAACAUCUCAUUGUAAAACAA